rnacentral:rRNA from 1 species
GGCCCUACGGGGCGCAGCAGGCGCGAAAACUUCACACUGCGGGAAACCGCGAUGAGGGGAUUCCAAGUGCGUGCGUUCAGCGUACGCUUUUCUCAGGUCUAGAUCUCAUGAGGAAUAAGGGCUGGGUAAGACCGGUGCCAGCCGCCGCGGUAACACCGGCAGCCCGAGUGGUGGUCGCUUUUAUUGGGCCUAAAGCGUCCGUAGCCGGCUCGGAAAGUCUUUGGGUAAAUCAUCCGGCUUAACCGAAUGAAUUCCAGAGAUACUACCGGGCUUGGGACCGGGAGAGGCUAGAGGUACUCAUGGGGUAGGGGUAAAAUCCAGUAAUCCUGUGGGGACCACCAGUGGCGAAGGCGUCUAGCUAGAACGGCUCCGACGGUAAGGGACGAAGCCCAGGGGCACAAACCGGAUCAGAUACCCGGGUAGUCCUGGGUGUAAACGCUGCGGACUUGGUGUUGGAGGUCCUGCUAGGGCGUUCAGUGCCGUAGAGAAGUUGUUAAGUCCGCCGCCUGGGGAGUACGGUCGCAAGGCUGAAACUUAAAGGAAUUGGCGGGGGAGCAC